rnacentral:tRNA from 112 species
UCCCCGAUAGCUCAGUUGGUAGAGCGCCGGACUGUUAAUCCGUAGGUCCCUGGUUCGAGCCCAGGUCGGGGAGCCA